rnacentral:piRNA from 1 species
UGAUAUCAGUUAAGAUGUGUCCGUUUGUAAU